rnacentral:rRNA from 1 species
GACGAACGCUGGCGGCGUGCUUAACACAUGCAAGUCGAACGGAAAGGCCCUGCUUUUGUGGGGUGCUCGAGUGGCGAACGGGUGAGUAACACGUGAGUAACCUGCCCUUGACUUUGGGAUAACUUCAGGAAACUGGGGCUAAUACCGGAUAGGAGCUCCUGCUGCACGGUGGGGGUUGGAAAGUUUCGGCGGUUGGGGAUGGACUCGCGGCUUAUCAGCUUGUUGGUGGGGUAGUGGCUUACCAAGGCUUUGACGGGUAGCCGGCCUGAGAGGGUGACCGGCCACAUUGGGACUGAGAUACGGCCCAGACUCCUACGGGAGGCAGCAGUGGGGAAUAUUGCACAAUGGGCGGAAGCCUGAUGCAGCAACGCCGCGUGCGGGAUGACGGCCUUCGGGUUGUAAACCGCUUUCGCAUGUGACGAAGCGUGAGUGACGGUAAUGGGUAAAGAAGCACCGGCUAACUACGUG